UGGCGUUGCCCAGACAACUAGGAUGUUGGCUUAGAAGCAGCCAUCAUUUAAAGAGUGCGUAAUAGCUCACUAGUCGAGUGACACUGCGCCGAAAAUGUACCGGGGCUAAACAUAUUACCGAAGCUGUGGAUUGUCCUUUGGACAAUGGUAGGAGAGCGUUCUAAGGGCGUUGAAGCAUGAUCGUAAGGACAUGUGGAGCGCUUAGAAGUGAGAAUGCCGGUGUGAGUAGCGAAAGACGGGUGAGAAUCCCGUCCACCGAUUGACUAAGGUUUCCAGAGGAAGGCUCGUCCGCUCUGGGUUAGUCGGGUCCUAAGCUGAGGCCGACAGGCGUAGGCGAUGGAUAACAGGUUGAUAUUCCUGUACCACCUAUAAUCGUUUUAAUCGAUGGGGGGACGCAGUAGGAUAGGCGAAGCGUGCGAUUGGAUUGCACGUCUAAGCAGUAAGGCUGAGUAUUAGGCAAAUCCGGUACUCGUUAAGGCUGAGCUGUGAUGGGGAGAAGACAUUGUGUCUUCGAGUCGUUGAUUUCACACUGCCGAGAAAAGCCUCUAGAUAGAAAAUAGGUGCCCGUACCGCAAACCGACACAGGUAGUCAAGAUGAGAAUUCUAAGGUGAGCGAGCGAACUCUCGUUAAGGAACUCGGCAAAAUGACCCCGUAACUUCGGGAGAAGGGGUGCUCUUUAGGGUUAACGCCCAGAAGAGCCGCAGUGAAUAGGCCCAAGCGACUGUUUAUCAAAAACACAGGUCUCUGCUAAACCGUAAGGUGAUGUAUAGGGGCUGACGCCUGCCCGGUGCUGGAAGGUUAAGAGGAGUGGUUAGCUUCUGCGAAGCUACGAAUCGAAGCCCCAGUAAACGGCGGCCGUAACUAUAACGGUCCUAAGGUAGCGAAAUUCCUUGUCGGGUAAGUUCCGACCCGCACGAAAGGCG
rnacentral:rRNA from 1 species